UACGAAGGGGGCUAGCGUUGUUCGGAAUUACUGGGCGUAAAGCGUGCGUAGGCGGUUUGUUAAGUCCGUUGUGAAAGCCCUGGGCUCAACCUGGGAAUUGCAGUGGAUACUGGCGAGCUAGAGUGCGGUAGAGGAUGGUGGAAUUCCCGGUGUAGCGGUGAAAUGCGUAGAGAUCGGGAGGAACACCCGUGGCGGAAGGCGGCCAUCUGGACCAGCACUGACGCUGAGGCGCGAAAGCUAGGGGGAGCAAACAGG
rnacentral:rRNA from 1 species